AAAAAGAUAAGCUAUAUUCCAUAAGCUUUUGGAGUCAUGAUCCAAAUAAAAGCAUUGUCUUUCUUUUUA
rnacentral:tRNA from 1 species